rnacentral:rRNA from 1 species
CCUACGGGAGGCAGCAGUGGGGAAUCUUGGACAAUGGGCGAAAGCCUGAUCCAGCCAUGCCGCGUGAGUGACGAAGGUCUUCGGAUUGUAAAGCUCUUUUGGCGGGGAAGAUAAUGACGGUACCCGCAGAAUAAGCCCCGGCUAACUUCGUGCCAGCAGCCGCGGUAA